UACGGAGGGUGCGAGCGUUGUCCGGAAUCACUGGGCGUAAAGGGCGCGUAGGUGGCGCAGCAAGUCAACGGUGAAAGCUCGACGCUCAACGUCGAGUCGGCCGUCGAUACUGCCGCGCUCGAGCACUGUAGAGGCAGAUGGAAUUCCGGGUGUAGCGGUGGAAUGCGUAGAGAUCCGGAAGAACACCGGUGGCGAAGGCGGUCUGCUGGGCAGUUGCUGACACUGAGGCGCGACAGCGUGGGGAGCAAACAGGG
rnacentral:rRNA from 1 species